GGAUAUUUCUGUCCUCUUUGCUCAUACAAAGCCGAUGAGUCGUUCAAGGUACAGAAUCACAUAACAAGAACUGCUACGGUUCAACAUAACGGUAUGUAAAGCUACACUUACACUAUCAUUUAUUUAUUUACCUUCUUAACAGUUUUGUAGUUGUUGUUUUUUUUUCAUAAAAAACACUAGAAAAAGGUUAAUCCUUUUUGAAAUAUGUUUUUGCACGCCAACAUUUCUGGAAAGUCUAACACUUUUUAUGAACUAAAAGCUGCCAUCAUAGGUGGGUGUAGUUCCCUCUACUUCAUAUAUUUAUAGUAGUAAAUAACUGCAAAAAACACUAGUAAGAGUAACAGUAUUAGGUGAUACAUCUACUAUUAAGUACGGUUUUACUGAUCAUAAUGUGCAGUGUAAUAUUACCCAUUUAUUUCUGCAGACAUGAAUUAAAAUGAAGGUAUGUGCACUGAUAGUUAUUUUAAAAAUGGAAAUUAAAAAUAUUAAUAUAAGUGAGAUGUUAUUGUUGGACAAUUAUAGUUCUUUAGAGCUACCAGACAGCUUAUUUCCAAUCAUUCCUCCGUUCAAUGUUUACAGUCAAUAGUGUGGGUAAGGCUGUUGUCUUAUACAUUAAUUUGAUUGUUAAAGUAAUUUAAAUUUUCCCUCUUUUCUUGAAUGUUCUCUCAAACACCACAGGGAUUGCCUAAACAAGGACUGUCCAACAACUGUGGAAUGUUUGUAGUGAUGGUAACAUCCACUUCCUCCCACCAUUUUGUUGUAUUGUUUGUAUAGACAUAAUCACAUUUUUCUCCACAGUAUGCUCUCUACUUUGUGAUGGAAGCAYCAUUUGAUUUCACGGAGAAUGACAUGAUGACAAUACGAAGAUGGUGGACUCUCACUCUCCUGAGAAACUUCCCUGUGAAGUCCAAAGAAGAACUACAAAAGGAGAGAAAGCGGAAAAAAGUUCAUGAGGGGGCAAAAUAUGAGGUAUGGUUUAGUUCAAAUUCAUCAGUGUGUAGUUUUGAAUCAUGUAAUUUC